GCAUGUCGAGGGGUAACAUUGCAGCUUGCUGCAGAUGACGACCGGCGCACGGGUGCGUAACGCGUAUGCAACCUACCUUAUACAGGGAGAUAGCCCAGAGAAAUUUGGAUUAAUAUCCCAUAGUAUUAUUGAAUGGCAUCAUUUAAUAAUUAAAGUUCCGGCGGUAUAAGAUGGGCAUGCGUGAUAUUAGCUAGUUGGUGAGGUAACGGCUCACAAAGGCGACGAUGGGUAGCCGGCCUGAGAGGGUGAAC
rnacentral:rRNA from 1 species